rnacentral:tRNA from 1 species
GCGGACGUGGCGGAAUUGGCAGACGCGCAGGAUUCAGGAUCCUGUGCCCCUCCACAGGCGUAAGGGUUCAACUCCCUUCGUCCGCACCA